GAUGACUUAUUCAUACCAUAUUAAGUUCUUGGGAGAUUAGAAACACUAGAAAAAGUCAACCUAGCCUCAUAAUUUUAAAUCACCAAACACUCAUCAAAUAGCUUUUUUCUCUCUUUAUUUUUCUUUUCUUUCACCCCAAACACUUUAGAUUUCUUAGGAAAAGGAGAAUUUAAAGACUCUAGCCUUCCAAACCAUAAGAGAUCAACGUGUACGCUUUCUAGAUCCUUUUUUACGAGGCAAGUGUGCCGCGUUCCCGAGAACUACAUCACCGAGUAAUUACCCCACUAGCAAUGUUGAGUAAGUCUACAAUCAAGGGAGAGAGUCCCACUUUGCACCUGAACGUGAGGAGCUCAUGAGCAGGUACUGGGUGAGAGAGGAUUGAGAAUUAUUGUAAGAGAUGAGUAAUAUCCUAUCAAAUAUAAAAUGUAAACUAGGAGGCGUGUGCCGAGAGAGAGUCCCACUCGCAACUGAGCCACGACGAGAAGCCCGUAUGAAGUUGCCACGUUAAGGAUAGGGGUCGCUCCCUUAUUCUUAGCGCGGUUGCGCGCAAAUUGGUACUGCCUAGGGGCUAAACCAGUAUUGAAGAUAGUAAUGCGAAUCUUGAGAAUAACAUAAUGAGAAAGCAUAGAACACUUAAAAGAUGAGAUUAUUUGAGUUUAGAGCUGCAUAUUUUAGGAUAUAUGUUUGAUGUGACGUAUAUUUACAACUAAAACCAUUAAGAUAAAUGUUUUAUGAGAUUGUGGAUGUACUUACUAAGCGUUUCGCUUAUGAGAUUUUCGCAUGUUGCAAAUAAAGGUAAGAAACAUAGCUUGAUGAUAGAGAAGGCUUGGCGUGGAUGUGCUCGUGGUGGCGGACACGGAUUGUCCAAAUAGGAAGAGAUUUGGCACACUUAUUUUAAGUUUGU